rnacentral:miRNA from 1 species
GUGCAGUGCUGGGGGGCACAGCG